GGAUCCAUCGGUAGCUUGCUACCGAUGGUGAGAGUGGCGCACGGGUGCGUAACGCGUGAGCAACCUGCCCAUAUCAGGGGGAUAGCCCGGAGAAAUCCGGAUUAACACCGCAUGCAACCGGAGGAUGGCAUCAUCUUCCGGUUAAAUAUUCAUAGGAUAUGGAUGGGCUCGCGUGACAUUAGCUAGUUGGUGGGGUAACGGCCCACCAAGGCGACGAUGUCUAGGGGCUCUGAGAGGAGAAUCCCCCACACUGGUACUGAGACACGGACCAGACUCCUACGGGAGGCAGCAGUAAGGAAUAUUGGUCAAUGGGGGCAACCCUGAACCAGCCAUGCCGCGUGCAGGACGACUGCCCUAUGGGUUGUAAACUGCUUUUGUUAGGGAAUAAACCCCACUACGUGUAGUGGGCUGAAUGUACCUAAAGAAUAAGGAUCGGCUAACUCCGUGCCAGCAGCCGCGGUAAUACGGAGGAUCCGAGCGUUAUCCGGAUUUAUUGGGUUUAAAGGGUGCGUAGGCGGCACUUUAAGUCAGGGGUGAAAGACGGCAGCUCAACUGUCGCAGUGCCCUUGAUACUGAAGUGCU
rnacentral:rRNA from 1 species